GACGAACGCUGGCGGCGUGCUUAACACAUGCAAGUCGAACGCUGAAGCUCAGCUUUUGUUGGGUGGAUGAGUGGCGAACGGGUGAGUAACACGUGAGUAACCUGCCUCCUUCUUUGGGAUAACGCCCGGAAACGGGUGCUAAUACUGGAUAUUCACUGGUCUUCGCAUGGGGGUUGGUGGAAAGGGUUUUUCUGGUGGGGGAUGGGCUCGCGGCCUAUCAGCUUGUUGGUGGGGUGAUGGCCUACCAAGGCUUUGACGGGUAGCCGGCCUGAGAGGGUGACCGGUCACAUUGGGACUGAGAUACGGCCCAGACUCCUACGGGAGGCAGCAGUGGGGAAUAUUGCACAAUGGGCGCAGGCCUGAUGCAGCGACGCCGCGUGAGGGAUGGAGGCCUUCGGGUUGUGAACCUCUUUCGCUCAUGGUCAAGCCGCAACAAUGGUUGUGGUGAGGGUAGUGGGUAAAGAAGCGCCGGCUAACUACGU
rnacentral:rRNA from 1 species